GGGUUUUUCUCAUUCAAUAAGCGGAGGAAAAGAANACCAACAGGGAUUGCCCUAGUAACGGCGAGUGAAGCGGCAACAGCUCAAAUUUGAAAUCUGGCUUCGGCCCGAGUUGUAAUUUGCAGAGGAAGCUUUAGGCGCGGCACCUUCUGAGUCCCCUGGAACGGGGCGCCAUAGAGGGUGAGAGCCCCGUAUAGUUGGAUGCCUAGCCUGUGUAAAGCUCCUUCGACGAGUCGAGUAGUUUGGGAAUGCUGCUCAAAAUGGGAGGUAAAUUUCUUCUAAAGCUAAAUACCGGCCAGAGACCGAUAGCGCACAAGUAGAGUGAUCGAAAGAUGAAAAGCACUUUGAAAAGAGGGUUAAAUAGCACGUGAAAUUGUUGAAAGGGAAGCGCUUGUGACCAGACUUGCGCCGGGCGGAUCAUCCGGUGUUCUCACCGGUGCACUCCGCCCGGCUCAGGCCAGCAUCGGUUCUCGCGGGGGGAUAAAGGUCCUGGGAACGUAGCUCCUCCGGGAGUGUUAUAGCCCGGGGCGUAAUGCCCUCGCGGGGACCGAGGUUCGCGCAUCUGCAAGGAUGCUGGCGUAAUGGUCAUCAGCGACCCGUCUUGAAACACGGACCAAGGAGUCAAGGUUUUGCGCGAGUGUUUGGGUGUAAAACCCGCACGCGUAAUGAAAGUGAACGUAGGUGAGAGCUUCGGCGCAUCAUCGACCGAUCCUGAUGUUUUCGGAUGGAUUUGAGUAGGAGCGUUAAGCCUUGGACCCGAAAGAUGGUGAACUAUGCUUGGAUAGGGUGAAGCCAGAGGAAACUCUGGUGGAGGCUCGCAGCGGUUCUGACGUGCAAAUCGAUCGUCAAAUCUGAGCAUGGGGGCGAAAGACUAAUCGAACCAUCUAGUAGCUGUACCAAAAUUUCUCUCUCUCUCUCCGGAGAGAAAG
rnacentral:rRNA from 1 species